CAUAUCACAUGGUAUCCAUGAUGCGUGAAUCAUGCUGAAAUAUUCAUCAUUUACUUUAAAACAUAAAGAGUUAUUCCACUCACCUCUGGCUAGCUCUGACCAGACACUGGAGCAGCUGACUCACUGCUGGGGUCCUCGGUUCCUCGGGUCCGAACCUACACAGGUGGACUCAAAUGAGGGACCAAACAUACAAGAACAUGACUCUAAAAUACUCUCCAAAAUCCCC
rnacentral:lncRNA from 1 species